rnacentral:lncRNA from 1 species
GUGGAAUGAAAAAUAACCAGCUAUUUUGCUAGCAAUUCAAAGAGAAAAAUAAAAUUGCAAUCUCAUACAAAUUGGAAUCUAGGACAAAGCUUUUCAUUUAUGGGAAGGAAGGUAAGGGCCCAGUGCGGUGGUUCUCAAACUUGGAGGCACAGUGGAAUCAUUUGGGGAGUUAGAAAAAGUGCUGAUGUUAUAGGUCAUCCCUAGUAAUUAUGGUUGGAUUAUCCUUGGGUGCAACAUGAGCAUGGGAUUUUAAAGAAGCUUCCCAGAUGAUUGCAGAGCAUAGCCAGCCAGGGUUGAGAAUCAGUGGCCUAAAUAAGUCAUGACAUGGUGGUGGAGGUUGACAUCCUCUUGCAGGAUCAUCAGGAUGUGGUUCAUUAAAAAAUAUGGGUAAAUAUUUCUGAGAUAGAUAAACUCAGGAGUUUCUAGUUGCAGCAGUUUUUUGUCAAAAUCGCAUUAAAUUUCAUGGCUUAGUGUGGAUGCUGAUGUUGGUUUGAUGCCCUCUCAGAUUUUAUAUCUGAGGGAACUGUAAAGUGUGAUAUUAAAGCAUUUAAAACUAUGAAUCAGAACUUAGUAUUUGGGAUUUUCCUUUAGGGAGAGUGCAUGAUACCCUGAUAACAGAAUGAUGGAAUGUACAAUUUCAGAGACUGAGAAAAGGUGAAACUAAGCUUGGAAGUUUUUCUACUUGAUUUUUAAUUCUGGAAGAAUUCCUAAUUAAAUAAAAUGUAAGUGUGGAUGGAGUCUCAGCACAAGAGAAUAGGGGGAAAUCUCAUCUGAAUUCAGAGUGGAAAAAAAAGCCUGAUACACUGAUCUCCUUUGCUUGGCUUUGUUUUGCUCUUUUCUGCAGGCUCAGCUGGAAGAGAUGACAGCUAUGGAAACAAGCUGUCCUUGGAUUAGUGGUAACGCUGGGAUGUUUUCCAGGAUGAGAUGUGAUCAUGCAGACAGAGGCCAGCAUCGUGCUGCUGCAUAGAAGGGGCUUGGUAAGUGAAUGUUACCCCUAAAGACACCAGAUCUGACCUUCAGCUCUCCUGCAAACGGCCUAGAACAGUGAAUUACAUAGUCCUAUAAGGAGUCAGUUAGUGAUUGAUCCAGGGUGAUUCUGAAUUUAUUCUGAGUAAUGAAUUCUGAUUCUGUUCUUAUUUAACUAGCUUUAAAAGUGAGGAAGGAAAAGAAAGAUUAUUUUUGACAGGUUGUUUAUAAUUUCACAAGAAAAUCAGUCACUGAGUUAAAAGUUCUAUCAGUUCACUCAUUGCUCUAAGCCUUGUGACAGAAUCCACUGUAUUGAAAUCCUUGCCAGACUCCUC